UAAGGGAAUUAUUGGGGGAGAUUGCUUAUAUCUUCAAUGUGACUUCAAGUCUAUCUUUUUAUACUUUAUUUGCAUUUAUUAGUGUUUAAUCCCACAGAAUGAUCCCAUUCUCCUAUUUUAAGUGUUCUAAUUCCCGCACACAAUUCCUCUACCUAUAGGUUCUAAAUUUAUAAUUGUAGGUUGAAAGAAUGGUUUUGUUCAUUCAACCCUAAGCAUUCAGUGGUUGCUACAUUCUUCAUGUUACAUUUUCUCAGUUCCUUAUGUUGGUUAACGUCUUACUGAUUAGGCUGAGAACUAGAAUUUCCAUCACAGUAGUACUCAUGCUGAGUAGUCACUGCUUAUUGAUUUGUCUGGUGGAAAACCUGAAGGUAGGACCUGUAUCAGUCAGGGUCUUAGCAGGGAACCCCUGUUUAAUCAAGUUAGGGCUUAAUGGGAGAUAAUUUUCUUUCCAGAGGUACAGGCAGGGUUAAUCACUCCAAUAAGGGAUGUUGAAGUAUCCAGGGUUUCGCUACAGUGGGAAGCUAUUAUUGCCCCUAGGCCUGAAGGUCGAUGACAAGGAAGUUACUAGAAUCUGGCAAGUGAUGGAGUGGAGCUAUAGCCAAGGGGCUGCCUGAGAGGAGCAGUGGCCAAAUGUGAUUGAGAAUUGCUGGUGAAAUGAUUCACCAACCACAGGAAGAGGCUGACCAUCAUAGACCACAUUUCAAUGACUUAUGUUUCAUUAAUGAGUCAUCAUCAAUUUCUCUUUCAUUUUGAUAGCCCCCUCUUAGGAUUCAGGUUUUGAGGUAACUCUUCUACUAGACAACAUUUUAAAGUAGUAACUAUUUUUCUCAUUGCUAUUAACCAAGCCACACAUUAAUGCCGAGCUUCUGUUAAGUAAAAAAUAACUAGGGAUACCAGACUGAGUUUUUCAGCCCAGUCAGAAGAAAAGCAAUUUGACAUACUGUUACCCUUUGCAGUCUUAGCAAGAGAAAGACAAUGCGCUUGUUUAUUGUCUAAAUUAGCACUUUGCCCCUGAUACUCCUCAAAGCUGAAAGACCCUCUAAGAUCAAGAACUGAUGAAGGCUAUAGAAAAAUGUGCUGCUCAAAAGGAGAUUUCCAUCUCGAAAAGGCAAAUUACUGGGAAAAAUGAAUCUGUUUUCUCUGCCAAGCAUUGGAGACAUAGAAGGAGACUGCCUCCUGCUGGGGUCAGUAUUUUCUGCAUCCCAUGAACGGAAGUGAGAACAGCCUUGGGAGCUAAUGCCGAAGGUGGGAGAAUCUGAUGCCCUCAGUCUCCAGUGAACUAAAGCUGAAGAAGACUCAGAUUUCUGACACAAUGGUAACACCUAUCCCUUCUGCCUGUGACUGCCAGGGCUUGCUGUAUGAUGAUAAGAAGAGAAUGUGACACAGAGGAAGGGGAAAAAGUCCAUCCCUCUGGUAGUAGGGGGUUGUGGAAUGGGAGGGAAAAAGGGAGAAGGAGAAGUAGAAAAUACUCAUAUCUAAAUGUCUUCAUGUCUUCUGCUUGACUUUAGCCAGGAAUGAGUGUUAGGAAAGAGGGGAUGCUCUAGAAGAGGAAGCUAUGGAGUCUUAUUUGGGUCUAUGUAAAUAGCCCAACCACAGGCCCUUCUGCCCAAUCUAGGGCAGACCCAUACCAGAGUUUAACGUGGCAACAAAGUGUGGUUAGACAGAAGUUAGGCAUGGAGUUUAGCUUUUCAAGGCAGCUUUCCAUCACUACAAGGCCAAGGCAGAAAUUAAAUAUCUCAUUUCCUUUUUGCAGGGUAGAGCAAGCAGGGCAAAGGGGAAUGACUGAGCAAUCAGGUGACUUGAGAGCCAAAUAACAUUCCCAUUCACAGGGUCUGAAUUGGUGAAAUGUAUCAAGAUCUUCAGCUUGAGAUGGACCAUCAGAGCAGGAGGCCAGAAGAGAGACAUGGGGUUUGUUGUGAUAACUAGAGCUAAAGUGAGCUAAGUGAUCAGUAGAGCAACACUGGGCUCUGGCCAACCAAAAUAAACCAGACCAUGAGCUCCACCAGAUAAGGCCCUCUGCUACAAGUACAGUAGGUGAGCAGCACCCAGGCAGAGAGAGGCAUUGUCAGGAAGACUGAAGGAAAGAGGAGCAUCACAAGUGAUGAGGAGCUGAUCUUCACCUAGGCAAGGAGGUGGGAAAGUCUUCCUUCCCCCAGAUGCCCUGGGAGAGAAUUGGGGAACAGGAAGACUCUGGGAAACUGAGCAUUUCUUUUUAUCAAAAGAUAAAGAGCACAAGGAUUAUUUACAUCAUUGUAAUAACCUACAUUUUUUAGGCAUAAUUUUAGAAACAUAUCUUGGCUGCAUAUAUGUGAGAUUGCUUACAUUUUUAAACAUUACAAUUGCUUAUUAAAUAAAAGAAGGACCCAAAUAAGAAAGAAGAGAAAAAAUAAGCAAGAUGCUUAAAAUGACUUAUCUCCUUCAACAGUAGAGUUCUCCAGCAAGAGAAAUACUAAAACCUAAGCUGUUGCUUUAGCACUAAGAUUAAGGUUCCUUCCCAAGUGUUAGUCCCAGUAAAGAAGGGUAUGAGAAAAAAUUGUGAAGUGCAUGCAAUUUGUUGUUACUUCUUUCAUGAUUCAACAUUCUACUAAGCUACCUGAUUUACCCUGGUUUUGUUGUUGUUAUUGUUGUUUUUAGCCAUUACAAAUACUUUGCUCUCAGGGAAGACUCAGAUAUUAAUUAUAAAUCUCAGGGUGAGUUUAUUAAUGCUAAAUGAUGAACAGUGUUAUAUUGAAAGAUAUUUCAAAAACAACCAAAUCUAGUUUCCAUAGCAACUAUUUUGUAUAUGGAAGAGACACAGAAAUUAAAGAAAAAAGACCUACCACUUACUGUGUGACCUUGACCUCUUUGAUAAUGUUUCUUCAUUUGUGAAAUAAUGAAAAACUAAUCAUUACUCUACCAACUCUCUUCCUUUUUAUGAAGAUUGAAACCACAUUAGUGAAAGUGCUUUGUGGUCUUUGAAGAAUAUAGUUAUAAUUGUUAUGUCAAAGACCAAAAGAGAUAUUCAGGACUCAAGGCAGGCCUUCAGGGUUUCCCUGAGAUAGCACUGUGGGCAUUGUUUCAUGAUCUUUUACUAUAUGAGAAGUAGAGAAAGGAAGAGAGUUCUAAAUGUUCAUAUACUGUGGUCAUAAAAUGCUUAAAUUACUCCCUCCUAAUCCACUUCUAAGAUAAAUAUUGGUGAGGAGCCAGGAUAGGCACUUUUUUUGUUAUUUACAAUCGUGGGGAAGGAGUUGAGUUGAAAUCAAAGCCUUUAGUAAUUUAAUAUAAUGGUGUAUAGGAUCUGAGUGCCCUACUGCCUCCUAGCAAUAAAAAGUUUGACUUCUAGAGUCAAGAACUUCUGUUUUUGCUAGUCUCCCCAAAAUUGUCACUCUGUGAAUAUACACAUUUUCUGUUCACAGUAGUAGGGAUGUGGAUUUUUUGCUUAUCAUGCUAGUUACUCCCUUGAAAAACUGAGUGGUAUUUAUAUGAUUGAUAAGCUUAUAUACCACAUAAAACCCAUGCUCCAGCUUGAACAGUUAUGGAUGGGUAAUGAUAUGUCUUGGUUUGCUGAAAAUAUAAUUACAAAGUAAUUAUUAAUGACUUACCUUUCAGUCUCAAAAAUGUUCCAGUUCCAACAAUUAAUUAUAUAAUCAUUUUACUUAUACCUAUAUGCGAACCAGAAUUGGGACACAUGGGCACCCUCGAUAAAACCCAGAUUUAAUCAACUGCAAAAAUCUUCCUCAGAAAAAGAAAAAUUCAAAGUUUCAAGAACUAGAACUUCAUGUUAAUUUUUAACGAAUAGCUCUGACGUUGGUGACCUAUUUCAGAAAUAUUGUAGCAAUUUAAAAGAGUAAUACAGAAUAACAACUUUUGCUACUUUGUGGAUCAUACAAGCUAGUAUAAGAUUAGAAAGAGAAAAGAUCAGUGUAAUUGAUUUGAUAGAAUCAUAAAAAUUACUCUUAGCAGAAUUAGGGUGAAUGAAGUCUAUCUUCGAUAACUAGAUAAUAUUUAAAUAGUAAUCAUUUCAGACAUUUUGAGUGUCAUUUUGUAAAACUGGGUCCAUCUUGAUGAAGGUUCCAAGUCAUUUGAAAAGAAUAUAUAUCAUUUCAUCAUUGAAUAUAAUCUUCAGUUAACGUCAAUUAGCUCAAGUUGGUUGGUAAUGUUGUAUUAUUCAGGUCUAGUAUAUCCUCAUUAAUUUUCUUUCUACUUCUUCUAUCAAGUACCGACAGAAGAUAUGAGAGUGUUGAAUUCACUCUCAUGGUAUGAGACAUGAGAGUGUUGAAUUCAUUCUCACGGUGUUGAAUUCAUUUGAUAGAAUUCAGUACUUCUAUCAAGUACUGAUAUGAGAGUGUUCAAUGAACUCUAUCACCCUGCAGUGAUAUAGAACAAUAUAACUUAUUCCGCCUAUCUAGCUGUAAUUUUGUAUCCAUUAAUCAACCUCUCCCUAUAUCCCAUUUUCCCCAACCCUUACCAGCCUCUAGUGAGCAUUCUACUCUCCAUUUUUAUGAGAUCAACUUAUUUAGCUUCCAAAAAUGAGUGAGAAUAUGCGAUAUUUAUCAUUUUGUAUCUGGCUUAUUUCACUUCAUAUAAUAUUCUUCAAACUCCUCCAUGAUGCCACAAAUGACAGGACUCUUUUUUUAGCUUAGAGUCUAUUUUAUCUGAUGUAAGUUUAGCUACUGAUCACUUUUGGUUUUCCAUUGCAUGGAAUAUCUUUUUCCACCCCUUAACUUUAAAUCUAUGUGUGUUUUUAAAGGUGAAGUGAGUUUUUUAUAGGAAGCAUAUAGUUGGGUGUUGUUUUUUUAAUCCAUUCAUUUCAAAAAAUCCAUCCUUUUUUUAAUCCAAAUGGUUUUUUAAGCCAUUUUAUAUCUUUUAAUUGGGGAAUUUAACCCAUUUAUAUUCAAGGUUACUAUUGAUAGCUGAGGUCUUACUCCUCUCAAUUUGUUAAUUGCUUUCUUAUUGUUUUGUGAAUCCUUUCUUUCUUCCUCUAGUAUUGUAUAUCCUUUUGGUUGGAUGUAUUUCUGUAGUGGUAAGUUAGAUACCUUUCUUCUGCUCAUUAGUGUAUCCAUUCUACCAGUGAGUUUUAUAUUCUCAUCUGUGUUCUUAUCCUUUCACUUCCAGAUGUGGGAUUCCCUGAAGUAUUUCUUGUAAGAUCUGUCUAGUGGUGAUACAUUUCCUGUUUUUGCUUGUCCAGGAAAUACUUUAUUUAGCCUUCAUUUUUAAAGAAUAGCUUUUCUGGGGGUAGUAUUCUUGGCCAGCAAAGGUUUUUUCAGCACCUUGAAUAUGUUGUCCCAUCCUCUCCUGGUGUGCAAGUUUUCUGCUGAGAAACAGUUGUUAGUCUAAUGGAGAUUUACUUAUAUGUGACUUAAGGCUUUUCUCUAUUUUUAAAAUUCUUUCUUUGUCUUUGCCUUUUGACAGUAAAAUCCCAAUAGGCCUUGGAGAGGAGCUUUUUGGAUUAAGUAUAUUUGGAGACUUUGAGAGCUAGAUAUCCUAGAUAACAUGGAUCUAGAUAUCCAUUUCUCUCUGAAGACAUGGGAAGUUUUCAGCUGUUAUUUUCUUAAAUAUGGUCACUAUGCCUCUUCUCAUUUCUUCUACUUCUGCAACUCUCAGAUUCAUAUAUUUCAUUAAAGCUACUUAAUGGUGUCCCAUAAAUCCUAUAGGCUUUGUGAAAGAAAAAUAAACCUUGGGACCCUAAAAUCCCUAAGCCAGAAGGAAAAGUCAAUCUGGGAACUGCAAGGGCAAACAUACCUUUCAUUCUACUCCUAAAUAAGAUAGCUACAUUUUUUUUUAAAGCUACAUACCUCCCUCACAAUUUGCCCAUAAGGAAAUUCCUUGCGAACAAAGGACAGAUAGAACUCAAAGUCAUCCCUCUGCUCAUGUGGGACAAAUGCCUAUCUGAUUGCUUCCUUUCCCUAUUGUUUCACUAAGCCAGACUAAGGCAUAAGUGACUAUUCAUGUAAAUUGUGUAUUUAGUAAAAGACUAAUCAGAAACUCAAAAUAACGCAUCUAUUUGUCUUUUAUCUACUUAUGACCUGGAAGCCGCCUCCCUGCUUCAAGUUGUCCUGCCUUUCCCGACGGAACCAAUGUACAUCUUACAUAUACUGAUUGAUAUCUCAUGUCUCCCUAAAAUGUAUAAAACCAAGCUGUGCCCUGACAACCUUGGGCAAUGUCAUCAGGCCCUCCUGAGGCUGUGUCAUAGGCAUGUCCUUAACCUUAGCAAAAUAAACUUUCUAAAUUGAU